rnacentral:rRNA from 1 species
ACGGAAGGCAGCAGUAGGGAAUAUUGCACAAUGGGGGAAACCCUGAUGCAGCAACGCCACGUGUGGGAAGAAGCAUUUCGGUGUGUAAACCACUGUCGUGAGGGAAUAAGGCAUUGUUUCGGCGAUGUUGAAUGUGCCUCGAAAGGAAGCACCGGCAAACUUCGUGCCAGCAGCCGCGGUAAUACGAGGGGUGCAAGCGUUGUUCGGAAUCACUGGGCGUAAAGGGAGCGCAGGCGGAGAUGCAAGCAGUCUGUACAAUACCGGGGCCCAACCCCGGACCUGUAGAUUGGACUGUGUUUCUUGGAUAGUUCAGGGGCAGGCGGAAUUCCUGGUGUAGCGGUGGAAUGCGUAGAGAUCAGGAAGAACACCGAUGGCGAAGGCAGCCUGCUGGGGACUUAUCGACGCUGAGGCUCGAAAGUGCGGGUAGCAAACAGGAUUAGAUACCCUGGUA